rnacentral:rRNA from 1 species
UACGUAGGGGGCAAGCGUUGUCCGGAUUUACUGGGCGUAAAGAGCGUGUAGGCGGCUAACAGGUCCGUUGUGAAAACUGGAGGCUCAACCUCCAGACGCGGACGGAAACCGUGAGGCUAGAGUCCGGAAGAGGAGAGUGGAAUUCCUGGUGUAGCGGUGAAAUGCGCAGAUAUCAGGAAGGAACACCCAUGGCGAAGGCAGCUCUCUGGGACGGUACUGACGCUGAGACGCGAAAGCGUGGGGAGCAAACAGG